rnacentral:lncRNA from 1 species
GAAAUUUUAAUAUUGGAAAAUGAGAUUUUGAAAUUUAAAAUUGGCACUUUGAGACAUGAUUACUCUUUUUCCCUCCCCUGACACAUCGAGUACCGUUUAAACGGUUGAUUUCAUUUUAUGUGGACAUCCCAAGCCGGAAACGAAUGCGUAUUUUAAUGCUUGAUUAAUAAAAGUGGACCCCACACACCCAUUGAAAUAUAUGUAAUAAUUGUGACAAUAUGUGCGACAAUUGUACCAUAAG